rnacentral:rRNA from 1 species
UGGGGAAUAUUGGACAAUGGGGGGAACCCUGAUCCAGCCAUGCCGCGUGUGUGAAGAAGGCCUUAUGGUUGUAAAGCACUUUAAGCGAGGAGGAGGCUACUUUAGUUAAUACCUAGAGAUAGUGGACGUUACUCGCAGAAUAAGCACCGGCUAACUCUGUG